UGUCCCUAAGGUGUCACCAGGUGUCCCCAAAUGUCCCCAAGCCACCUGACCCGUGUCACCAGGUGUCACCCAGGUGUCACCCAGGUGUCACCAGGUGUCCCCAAGCCACCUGACCCGUGUCACCAGGUGUCAACCAGGUGUCACCCAGGUGUCCCUAAGGUGUCACCAGGUGUCCCCACCCCUCCUGUCCCCCGUCCCCGCGGUGUCCCCGGCUCUCCCUCUGUGUCACCGAGGUGUCACCGGGGGGUCCCCA